AUUUUUCGGAGUAAUAUAUACUAAACUUGGAACGAUACACAGAAGAUUAGCAUGGCCCUGCACUAGGAUGACACGCAUAAUCGUGAAACGUUCUACAUUUUU